UUUGACAUUUGACCUAACCUGACCUGCCGUUACAGUGAUAUUCGAUUUUCAAUAGGGAUCGCAAAAUCUGUGAAAAAUGAUUCAUUCAUAUUAUAAAGAAAUUGAAAUACGUAUUAUAAUAAAAUGAUGUUAGAGUCAACAACUUUAAAUUGUUUGUUCAUUGAAUCGUUUGCUUUAAGGGUCUAAUUUAAGAUGAUAGACGAUGUCGUACCCAAACGUAUCAGAUGAAAUGACGACGUACGUACCCUGGUAUCCAAAUAUUUGUCAUUGACUGUAAG